AAGACAAAGAUGACAAUAAUUCAGUAGGAAAACUUCAACUGGAGCUGUUCCUACCGGCCGCCACUACUUAUUAACUGCCUGGCUGAAAGUACACGGUUACUUCACCUCACCUCACCACACUCACCUCAGUCAGCCUGCCAGCACCUCACUCGUGUCCUCGCCUUCACGUUGCCACUAAAGUCACUUCCCACACGCAGCACAGACCAGUACUUUCCCUGCUACACCCUCGCUCUUCCUGACACUCUCUGCACCCUCCACUCCCCUUCCUGUACCCUCCCUCCACCAGCGCUCCCUCCCUCCACCAGUUUUCUAGUUCCGUGUUAUAUUUCAGUGAAUAAACGAGUGACAUCAGUUGUAAAUAUUUCACCCACACUUACCAAACAAAUAAAAGAUUGAGACCUCCACUGAAAUGUUCAUGAUUACACAGAGAUUACCCAACUUUGCGUGACAGGCAGGCGUGACGUGUCCAAGGGAGGGGAGGAGUGAAGGGAGGGUCAGCGGAGGAAUACAGGGAGGGAGAGGAACGAAGGAGAAGCAGUUAGAGGAGAUCCACUCACAGGAUUCUGCGUUGUUGAUUUGUGUGUGGAAGUAUCGUGGGUUUUGCCUGCCUCCAUUGUUGCUCGUCUGCUGAAAUAAGUUCCAAUCUUUGCCACGGUGCCUGUCUCUCUGUGCUCAGGUUUAUUGGAGCUCUCAGGUUGUACCCCAGCAGGCCCCUCUUCAGGUCCAGCGGGUUCUCUGGCUCCUCCUUGGCCAAUCAGCACCGAGGCAAAGUUGAUUGAUAUACAGGUGUGAAUUCAGCUGCCUCCUCGCUGUUCCCGUUGCCAGGAUACCAUGUGAUCGAGGCAGUGUUGGGGAAGGUGAAAUUAUUCAUCAGUGCUGCUUCACUCCAUCCCAUGAAGUUGCCCGCAGGAAUUUCUACCACAUCAGGCCUGACAUACUUCAUUGUGAUCAGGGAGUUGAGUUUCAUCAGGAAGAGAGGCUGAGUGUCACGAACUGUAAGCCUGACGAGGUGUUUAAUCAGCAAGAGGGGCCGAGUCUUGCUACCUGUGUAAGCCUGACAAGAGGAGUCAAGGAGUUUUUCAUUGCAAUGAAGGAAGAGUCAAGUUGUAAGAAGAUUGUAAGGCAAGAAUUUUAAGCAGGAAUAAUUGUCAAGCAGUUAACAGCAGGAAGAAUGCAGCGAGAAAAGGGUACAAGAGUUUUCAAGUUGUAAGAAGAUUGUAAGGCAAGAAUUUUAAGCAGGAAAAUGUAAGGUAAGAAUUUUAAGCAGGAAUAAUUGUCAAGCAGUUAACAGCAGGAAGAAUGCAGCGAGAAAAGGGUACAAGAGUUUUCAAGUUGUAAGAAGAUUGUAAGGCAAAAUUCUUUAAGCAGGAAAAAUAGUCAAGCAGUUUAGCAGCAGGAAGACUCCCUUCAAGCUGUGGUGGGAGUGACAAGCAUCCUUCAAGACUUGCAAAGGCUGGAGUCCUCAACACUAGUCUCACUCAAGUUGACACAAGAGCUCUCUGACACAAGGAAAACAAAUGACAUGUUUAUCAUCCUAUUGUGUAUUUAUUAAACUUUUAUGUGAUUAAACAAUAGUGAUUAAACAAUAUAUUGUACAUACUUAAGGAAUUAUUAGUAUAAGUUGCAAAUAAACAAGCU